rnacentral:rRNA from 1 species
UGAGCAACCUGCCCUUAACUCUCGGAUAAGCCUGGGAAACUGGGUCUAAUACCGGAUAUGACUCCUCAUCGCAUGGUGGGGGGUGGAAAGCUUUAUUGUGGUUUUGGAUGGACUCGCGGCCUAUCAGCUUGUUGGUGAGAUAAUGGCUCACCAAGGCGACGACGGGUAGCCGGCCUGAGAGGGUGACCGGCCACACGUGGGACUGAGACACGGCCCAGACUCCGUACGGGAGG